rnacentral:rRNA from 2 species
GGUAGAAACGCUGGCGGCGUGCCUAUACAUGCAAGUCGAGCGAACUGAUUAGAAGCUUGCUUCUAUGACGUUAGCGGCGGACGGGUGAGUAACACGUGGGCAACCUGCCUGUAAGACUGGGAUAACUCCGGGAAACCGGAGCUAAUACCGGAUAACAUUUUCUCUUGCAUAAGAGAAAAUUGAAAGAUGGUUUCGGCUAUCACUUACAGAUGGGCCCGCGGUGCAUUAGCUAGUUGGUGAGGUAACGGCUCACCAAGGCAACGAUGCAUAGCCGACCUGAGAGGGUGAUCGGCCACACUGGGACUGAGACACGGCCCAGACUCCUACGGGAGGCAGCAGUAGGGAAUCUUCCGCAAUGGACGAAAGUCUGACGGAGCAACGCCGCGUGAGUGAUGAAGGCUUUCGGGUCGUAAAACUCUGUUGUUAGGGAAGAACAAGUACAAGAGUAACUGCUUGUACCUUGACGGUACCUAACCAGAAAGCCACGGCUAACUACGUGCCAGCCCGCCGCGGUAA